rnacentral:SRP_RNA from 14 species
ACUGGGCGCAGUGGCACAUGCAUAUAGUCCCAGCUACUGGGGAGGCUGAGACAGGAGGAUCAUUUGAGUCCAGGAGUUCUGGGUUGUAGUGAGCUAUGCCGAUCGGGUGUCCACAUUAAGUUUGGCAUCAAUAUGGUGACCUCCUGGGAGUGGGGGACCGCCAGGUUGCCUAAGGAGGGGUGAACCAGUCCAGAUCGGAAACGGAACAGGUCAAGUGGAUUAUCUCAGGUAUGUUGUCACGGUAAGAGGAAGCUGAUUAAUAUGUCAUCUUUAACCAUAUGUCAUCUUUAGUU